rnacentral:precursor_RNA from 1 species
GAAAGGAGAACGCGUUCGGCGCUUUGAUUCGUUGGUUUAUUUGAGCCGGCUAAUCAAAGCGCUGAUCGCGCUCUCGUUUCGAUUACU